UGUCCUUAUCCUUUCAGGACAAGAGUCACUUUUGGAGUGAUGCUGGCACUGCUGUGCUUUGGAUGGACUCCUGCCAAGUCUGAGUUGGAAGGGGAAGACUACAAGAUAACACAGGGGAAAGAUAUGGAUUCCUGUUCUCAGAAAUUCUUGACAAGUUCCAAAUCUUCUAGAGGCCCAGGAAAGGCCUUAUUCCAGUCAUUCAAGGGCUAAGGCAGAGUCAGAGAUAUUGCCAAUCUUUGGAUCCUUUUAACACAUUUCUUAUGAUUUACUGAAGUCUGUGACUGAAAUGAAAGAGACUACCAAAAUUGAGAACGUUAAGAUUGACAGGUGUGAUAAAAAAAAAGCAAGUCACAGUUGGACCUAGAAGUCAUCAGCCAAAGUCACUUAAUCCAAAAAAUGCUGCUAACAUCAAAUCGAACUGCUUUCUGAUAUUAGCAACUAUGCUGGAAAAU